rnacentral:rRNA from 1 species
CAGCCGCCACGGUAAUACGGAGGGAGCUAGCGUUAAUCGGAAUUACUGGGCGUAAAGCGUGCGCAGGCAGUUGUGUAAGACAGGUGUGAAAUCCCCGGGCUUAACCUGGGAACUGCGCUUGUGACUGCGCAGCUAGAGUAUGGCAGAGGGGAGUGGAAUUCCGCGUGUAGCAGUGAAGUGCGUAGAUAUGCGGAGGAACACCGAUGGCGAAGGCAGCCCCCUGGGCCAACACUGACGCUCAUGCACGAAAGCGUGGGGAGCAAACAGGAUUAGAUACCCGCGUAGUCCCUGUCUCUUAUAC